UUAAAGGAUCUUGUGACUCCACUCUUCCUAUACUUCAAAAACAUGACAUCAGACUUGAACUGUGUUCCUGAUGGACACACUGACCAGUAUAACCAGGUGAAUGCCAUCCGCACGGCCUGUAAGACGGGAGUGACAGAGUGCCGGACCCUGACAACCGAAUGGUUCAAACAAUGGAUGGAAGCCCCUCAACACAAUUUGAUCCAUCCCAACCUGCGCUCAGUGGUGUACUGCAGUGCCAUGGAGGCAGGAGAGGAGGCAGAGUGGGAG